rnacentral:rRNA from 2 species
CCAGCAGCCGCGGUAAUACGUAGGUGGCAAGCGUUGUCCGGAUUUAUUGGGCGUAAAGCGAGCGCAGGCGGUUUUUUAAGUCUGAUGUGAAAGCUCUUCGGACUCAGCCGCAGAAGGUGCAUCGGAUAACUGGGAAACUUGAGUGCAGAAGAGGACAGUGGAACUCCAUGUGUAGCGGUGAAAUGCGUAGAUAUAUGGAAGAACACCAGUGGCGAAGGCGGCUGUCUGGUCUGUAACUGACGCUGAGGCUCGAAAGUAUGGGUAGCAAACAGGAUUAGAUACCCUGGUAGUCCAUACCGUAAACGAUGAAUGCUAAGUGUUGGAGGGUUUCCGCCCUUCAGUGCUGCAGCUAACGCAUUAAGCAUUCCGCCUGGGGAGUACGGCCGCAAGGCUGAAACUCAAAGGAAUUGACGGGGGCCCGCACAAGCGGUGGAGCAUGUGGUUUAAUUCGAAGCUACGCGAAGAACCUUACCAGGUCUUGACAUACUAUGCAAAUCUAAGAGAUUAGACGUUCCCUUCGGGGACAUGGAUACAGGUGGUGCAUGGUUGUCGUCAGCUCGUGUCGUGAGAUGUUGGGUUAAGUCCCGCAACGAGCGGCACCCUUAUUAUCAGUUGCCAGCAUUAAGUUGGGCACUCUGGUGAGACUGCCGGUGACAAACCGGAGGAAGGUGGGGAUGACGUCAAAUCAUCAUGCCCCUUAUGACCUGGGCUACACACGUGCUACAAUGGAUGGUACAACGAGUUGCGAACUCGCGAGAGUAAGCUAAUCUCUUAAAGCCAUUCUCAGUUCGGAUUGUAGGCUGCAACUCGCCUACAUGAAGUCGGAAUCGCUAGUAAUCGCGGAUCAGCAUGCCGCGGUGAAUACGUUCCCGGGCCUUGUACACACCGCCCGUCACACCAUGAGAGUUUGUAACACCCAAAGUCGGUGGGGUAACCUUUUAGGAACCAGCCGCCUAAGGUGGGACAGAUGAUUAGGGUGAAGUCGUAACAAGGUA